GUUAUUAGACUCUAUACAGGUUACGACAGAGCGAUUGAGAGGGUCACCAUUUUGUAAACCUUGUUUACAAUUUGUCUGUCAAAAUCGACGCCGGUCAGCUGAUGCUUGGAAUAAACAACACAAAUAAGAUUGUAGAAGCUGAAACUAACGCUUCAAGUUUUCUUCAUCCUACCACGUUCCAUCGUUGUUGACCUGUUCAAUGCUGAGUUUGAAAUUGCAGUCACAGCUUCUGGGAACGAGGGUGUAUGCCGUCUAGCAGCAGCAUUGUUAAAAAGGGUUAGAAAUUAUGCAGUCCUGAACGCGACCCUACUGCGAUGUGUGGGAAGCGGCGAGGCUCCAUGCCUCCAGGGUGAUCGUCUAUGCUGCUCCUGUUACUGUUCCGUAUCAUAGGAAACGAAUGUUCGUGCUGCAGUCCCCCCCCUCCCCCCCCCACGACUGCAGUCUUGUUCCAGUGGGGGUUGAGAAUUAAUGCCACCUCGGGUGAAGCUUAAUUUAAGUGCUAUAGCGAAAAGACGAGAGAUAAUUGUCGUCGCGGCAGCUGCUAUAGUGUUAAACAACGGCGGGGGUCCAUUUCAUUUAUGCUCGAGUCAAGUACAAUAUCAGAGCGAAAAGGAUGUUUGAAGCAUUUGUGGUGGGUACAUAGGUGACAUAGGUAGGGGGAUCAUAGGUUACAAAUUCCCACAUUUGAGUGAGGCGAGUGCAUUGCAGAAAAGAGAGUGUGUACAAAGGUUGAUCAAGUAGGUGCUCUCGGUAGGGGUGCUGCUGGUGUGCGGCCCGUACAGUAUGAGUAUCAAAAUGUUUUGUAAAUAGUGUUUAUUUAUAUAAUAUUUUGUGAUUGCGUAAAUGGUUGUGACGAAAGUUAUGAAGGAAAAUCGUAUUUGAUAAAGUUAUAUUUUGAUUUGCCAAAGUUAUAAAGGAAAAUCGUAUUUGAUAAAUGCUACCAAAAAACACAAAUAUAUUUGAAGUUUAUUUUCUAA